rnacentral:rRNA from 1 species
GGAGUCUAGCGCGUGCGCGAGUCAUUGGGCUCACUAAACCCAAAGGCGAAAUUAAGGUGAAGGCGAGCUUAGCGCUCGCCGAGGGAGGAUGGGCGAGCUCCGGCUCGCUCCGCACUCCCGGGGCGUCUCUUUCUCAUCGCGAGAAAAGGCGCACCAAGAGCGUACGCGCUGGGACCCGAAAGAUGGUGAACUAUGCCUGGUCAGGACGAAGUCAGGGGAAACCCUGAUGGAGGUCCGUAGCGAUUCUGACGUGCAAAUCGAUCGUCGGAACUGGGUAUAGGGGCGAAAGACUAAUCGAACCAUCUAGUAGCUGGUUCCCUCCGAAGUUUCCCUCAGGAUAGCUGGCACUCGCGAUGCGAGUUUCAUCCGGUAAAGCGAAUGAUUAGAGGCAUUGGGGACGAAACGUCCUCAACCUAUUCUCAAACUUUAAAUGGGUGAGAUCUCCGGCUUUCUUGAAUUAAUUGAAGCCGAUCAGAGAUCGAAUCUAGAGUGCCAAGUGGGCCAUUUUUGGUAAGCAGAACUGGCGUUGUGGGAUGAACCAAACGCGGAGUUAAAGCGCCUAAAUAGACGCUCAUAAGACACCAUGAAAGGCGUUGGUAACUUAAGACAGCAGGACGGUGGCCAUGGAAGUC